ensembl:lncRNA
GGCUGAUGAUGGCUCAUGUGGCUGAGCUCAGGCUCCAGCUCCGUCUUCAGAAACAGAGCUGACAGUGCUUGCCUCAAAACCCCUCCAUGAAUCACAUGUCUGGUAUGGUCCAAUGCCUCCAGAUGGGUGACCUUGGACAAUAAUGACUAUCACGACACACAUCUUACUGGGUUAUUCUGGAUCACACGAGAACCUCCUCAUGCAACAGGAUGUGAAAAUGGAAGCUUCUAUUCAGUCCUCAAGCCACGAUACAUGUCAUAUUCCGACACCAAAUCAUCACACAGACAGUUUACAAAGAAAAUGUCCCUAAACUGAUUCAAGAUCUCUUGAACUUCUCACCAGCUUUAAGAUAAUAAAAAGAAUCAAGAGGUGGAGAGGACCGAGAA